rnacentral:rRNA from 1 species
ACGACUCUCGGCAACGGAUAUCUCGGCUCUCGCAUCGAUGAAGAACGCAGCGAAAUGCGAUACUUGGUGUGAAUUGCAGAAUCCCGUGAACCAUCGAGUUUUUGAACGCAAGUUGCGCCCGAAGCCUUUCGGCUGAGGGCACGUCUGCCUGGGUGUCACGCAACAU